CUCUGUCGUUAUGCCAACACAGAUUCCAUUCCCCAGGACUUCCAUGGCAAUGACAUAUGGACAUCUCACUUUUCCUGGUGCUGAAUUGUGUGCGGUGGUGGUGCUCAGGACCUCAACUAUUGGGCUAGUGGAAAGCCGUCAAGGAGGAACUCCGAGGAGUCCAGCGGAUGGAUGGUGAUCUCCGUGGAAGAGAAGCUCUCCAGAGAUGGAACAGCUGGAUAAGGUGCUAUGGGACAUCUCAUCACUCCAGUUGGUAGGAUAAAGGCAAAGGCACCAGAACCAGCA